AUUGAACGCUGGCGGAAUGCUUUACACAUGCAAGUCGAACGGCAGCAUAGGUGCUUGCACCUGAUGGCGAGUGGCGAACGGGUGAGUAAUACAUCGGAACGUGCCCAGUCGUGGGGGAUAACGUAGCGAAAGUUACGCUAAUACCGCAUACGAUCUAAGGAUGAAAGCGGGGGACCGUAAGGCCUCGCGCGAUUGGAGCGGCCGAUGUCAGAUUAGGUAGUUGGUGGGGUAAAGGCUCACCAAGCCAACGAUCUGUAGCUGGUCUGAGAGGACGACCAGCCACACUGGAACUGAGACACGGUCCAGACUCCUACGGGAGGCAGCAGUGGGGAAUUUUGGACAAUGGACGCAAGUCUGAUCCAGCCAUUCCGCGUGCAGGAUGAAGGCCCUCGGGUUGUAAACUGCUUUUGUACGGAACGAAAAGGCUCUUCCUAAUACGAGGGGCUCAUGACGGUACCGUAAGAAUAAGCCCCGGCUAACUACGUG
rnacentral:rRNA from 1 species